rnacentral:rRNA from 1 species
AGAGUUUGAUCAUGGCUCAGAAUGAACGCUGGCGGCGUGCCUAACACAUGCAAGUCGAGCGCGAAAGUGUCCUUCGGGACACGAGUAGAGCGGCGGACGGGUGAGUAACGCGUAGACAACCUACCCUGGGGUACGGGAUAACACUUCGAAAGGGGUGCUAAUACCGUAUGAGCUAUAUACUACUGAGGUAGUAUAUGGGAAAGCGUGCCUCUGGAACAAGCACGCGCCCUGGGAUGGGUCUGCGUCCCAUUAGCUAGUUGGUGGGGUAACGGCCUACCAAGGCGACGAUGGGUAGCCGGCCUGAGAGGGUGGUCGGCCACACUGGGACUGGAACACGGCCCAGACUCCUACGGGAGGCAGCAGUGGGGAAUAUUGGGCAAUGGGCGGAAGCCUGACCCAGCGACGCCGUGUGAGGGAAGAAGGCCUUCGGGUCGUAAACCUCUGUCAGUGGGGAAGAAAGGGUAUGGGUUAAUAGCCUGUACUUUUGACGGUACCCACAGAGGAAGCACCGGCCAACUCCGUGCCAGCAGCCGCGGUAAUACGGAGGGUGCGAGCGUUAUUCGGAAUCACUGGGCGUAAAGCGCGCGUAGGCGGCUGAUCGAGUCAGGUGUGAAAUCCCACGGCUCAACCGUGGAAUAGCACUUGAUACUGGUUGGCUAGAGUCUGGCAGAGGGUGGCGGAAUUCCCGGUGUAGGGGUGAAAUCCGUAGAUAUCGGGAGGAACACCAGAGGCGAAGGCGGCCACCUGGGCCAAGACUGACGCUGAGGUGCGAAAGCGUGGGGAGCGAACAGGAUUAGA